CUGGAAAAGGGCGUAUGGGGAAUGCCUAGGCUCUCAGAGGCGAAGAAGGACGUGAUAAGCUGCGAAAAGUUACGGGGAGGGGCACAUACCUUAUAAUCCGUAAAUAUCCGAAUGGGGCAACCCACUAUAUUGAAGAUAUAGUAUGCGAAAGCAGGCAAACCCGGUGAACUGAAACA
rnacentral:rRNA from 1 species